GGCUUACACAUGCAGUCGCGGGGCAUCAUGGCGAUAGCUUGCUAUUGCUGAUGGCGACCGGCGCACGGGUGAGUAACGCGUAUCCAACCUGCCCCAUACUACGGCACAGCCCGGCGAAAGUCGGAUUAAUGCCGUAUGUUCUCCGAAGAAGACAUCUGACUUGGAGCAAAGCAGCGAUGCGGUAUGGAUGGGGAUGCGUCCGAUUAGCUUGUUGGCGGGGUAACGGCCCACCAAGGCGUCCGAUCAGCUUGUAGGCGGUGUAACGGAGCAGCAAGGUCCCCGAUCGCUAGGAAUCUGAGACGACGGUCCAGACUCCUACGGGAGGCAGCAGUCACGAAUAUAGACUCCUACGGGCGCGAGCCGUGAGGAAUAUUGCUCAAUUAGCGCGCAGCAUGAACCUGCCUAGUAGCGUGCAGGAGGACUGCUUUUAUGCGGGGAUAAACUAGCUGACAUGYGCCCAUUUGCGAGGUACCGUGUGACCUUUUAGCAGGUACCGCAUGAAUAAGGUCCCCGCUUUGUCCGAGCCCAGCCGCCGUCGGUUCACAUACGCGCAACGGUCCGGGCGUUAUCCGGAUUUUACUUGGGUCUCUAAAGGGAGCGCAGGCCGGAGGCUAAGCGUGCUGUGAAAUGUAGGCGCCCAACGUCUGCAAUUGCAGGCAGCGGAAACUGGCUUUCUUGAGUGCGUGGGAAGUGGGCGGAAUUCGUGGUGUAGCGGUGAAAUGCUUAGAUAUCACGAAGAACUCCGAUUGCGAAGGCAGCCCACUGGUUGCGUCACUGACGCUGAGGCUCGAAAGUGCGGGUAUCGAACAGGAUUAGAUACCCUGGUAGUCCGCACGGUAAACGAUGGAUGCCCGCUGUUUGCCCUUUAUGGGUGAGUGGCCAAGCGAAAGCAUUAAGCAUCCCACCUGGGGAGUACGCCGGCAACGGUGAAACUCAAAGGAAUUGACGGGGGCCCGCACAAGCGGAGGAACAUGUGGUUUAAUUCGAUGAUACGCGAGGAACCUUACCCGGGCUUGAAUUGCAGGAGUAGGAUGCAGAGAUGCUGACGCCCUUCGGGGCUCCUGUGAAGGUGCUGCAUGGUUGUCGUCAGCUCGUGCCGUGAGGUGUCGGCUUAAGUGCCAUAACGAGCGCAACCCCUCUCCGUAGUUGCCAUCGGGUAGUGCCGGGCACUCUGCGGACACUGCCACCGCAAGGUGUGAGGAAGGUGGGGAUGACGUCAAAUCAGCACGGCCCUUACGUCCGGGGCUACACACGUGUUACAAUGGGUGGUACAGAGAGCAGGGUGCCCGCAAGGUUGCCCGAAUCAAGAAAGCCAUCCUCAGUUCGGAUUGGGGUCUGCAACCCGACCCCAUGAAGCUGGAUUCGCUAGUAAUCGCGCAUCAGCCAUGGCGCGGUGAAUACGUUCCCGGGCCUUGUACACACCGCCCGUCAAGCCAUGAAAGCCGGGGGCGCCUGAAGUCCGUGACCGCGAGGUCGCUAGGUGA
rnacentral:rRNA from 1 species